rnacentral:tRNA from 1 species
AUUUGUAUAGUUUAAAAAAAACAUUAUAUUUUCAUUAUAAAAAUAUAUAAUAUAAUAUUACAAAUA